UCUCUCUUACACCCCUCAGAGACCAAAACCACGCCGCUUUAUACCGCCGCUUACCGCUCGCUGAAAAUCGCCCAUGGCGGCGGCCGGCGACCAAAUGCCACCAAAAUUAAACCGUUGCCUCUCCUCAACCCCCUCUUCCCAAAUCUCUAAUCAUUUUUCCUCAAAUCCACCCCGAAAGCCUCGAAUUUUCCAAUCCCUAGCACCACCCUGAUAUUCUCUGGUGGCGGCGGCACCACUAACCACCCCCAAAUUUACACCACAUUACCUCCUUCACCCCUUCUUCCCUAAUCCAUGACCAUCUUCCCUCAAAUCACCCCUGAACUCCUUAAAUAUCAAAUGGAAAUCAGAACCCUAAAUCCCAAAAAUGCAAAUCAACCAGUUGGACGAAGAUUUGAGCUCGGAUUGGACUUUAGUCGCAUGUUUUCAUCGAGAACACACGACUAAGGUCUAAUUAAGCCACAAAAUCUGAUUAUUCAAAGCGUUGUUCAAGGAUUUUAUUCACUUAUCUUUAGACAAUAUUUUUCUGGAACUUUUUCUUCACUUCCUUCCCUUAUUUUCUUUUUUGGUUCUUCUCUUCUUUGGUUUUGUCAAAGACCUUUCUGCAUGUGUCUCUUUAAUCCAGGCUAGUCGUUAACUGGUACUCCUAUUAGUUUUGUUUUAGUUUGUUUAAUUUUCAGAAGUUCGUUGUGAUUUAAAAGUAUUUUUGUUCAUUGUACGUUUUGUUAGUUUUCCAGAAUUGUUGUUCAUGCAUGAUUAGUUUUGCACCUUUUCUUUAAUCAGUAAAAUUAGUCCAUUAAUUAACUUAGUUUACUAAUUUAGUAAGUCUAAUUAAUGGUUUGUUUAGUCUAGGAUUUAAUUGCUGAAAUGUUUACAUUUUUCUAGUAUUUUAGAUUUUAAUUGGUUAAUUGGUUGUUUAAGGCUUGGGAUUUCUGACACAUUUAGGAAAAGAAGGCAACCUCAGUUUGGAAAUUGGACCCUUGGGUCAAAUUGACCCAUGUACGUUUGGUUUAAGGGUAAAAACAAAGGGUCUGAGGGUUAAUUUAGGAAAAUGGUAUAGGGAAUCUACGUGUUACUGCCUUAGGAAGCUUCCUAGAAGCUGAAAAAUAAAUUUGCUUGGCAAGCAGUAAAAAAUUUAGGGACCAAGCAGCAAAAAUAAAAAUUGAGAAAGGAUUGAAGGGCAAAAAUUGAACACUUUUAGGAUGCCCUAAUGCCUUGCCUAUAAAGGCAUCAUAACUUGGUUUUCAAGUCAGAUUUUUUAGAAUAAGAAUUUAGAAAAGAAAAGGACUGCUGAGAUUUUUUAAGAAUUCUGAAAAACUGCUCAAAACUCUGCUCAUUUUUAGUCUUUUACUUUCAAUUUGAUGAAUAUAAACUUUUUGAAAAUCAUAGCUUCUCAUUCUGGGAUUUGAAAUGGGUUGAAUUUGGGUUUUGGAACAAAUUUUGGUUUAAGUACUACUGGUUGGACACUGUUCUAUUGAUUUUCCUGAGCUGAUUUCACUAUGUUGAUUGAUUGAAUCUGAGGUUGUUUUCUGCAGUUGUGUAUUGCUGAUUGUUCACUUCCCUUUCCUUUUCAAUUUCCAGGUACAUGCUCUAAAACUUAUAUAAUGUGAAUGCUUGACUCGAAGGAUGAAAUGGAAAGUGGAAUCGUGAAGUUUAACAUUAGUUUGUAAUUCAUAGUUAUUCAUCUCUUUCCUUUUCUUCUGAUAUCUUUGGGCUUUGAAUGUGAAGCAAUGUUUCUUGUAUUCAGUGGGAAGUUUUGUAUCACACUUGUUUUGAUACUCAUAUAGUGUAAAAAUUAAAGUUGGUUUCUUCUAACAUUGUGCAAGACCUUGGGUGGUGUAGAACAGUAAAAGUCAUGUCACAUAUACAUGUUCAUUUAAGCUUUUCCUUUCUUAUCUUCAUUGAAUGACUGAGUCCACAUGACUGAAAAUUCGAAUGUGACUUUGAAGCCUUGGUCAUGUAUGCUGGUUUCUAUGGAAUUUUGAUGGUUUGAAUAUAAAUUAGUUGAGUUUAAGUUUGUUAGGUAAUGGAUAGUAGGAAAGUCGUGCAAAAGGGGAAAACCGUCAAGAUUGCUUUUAGGAAUAAUGACUUUGUUAUUAGCUUAAUUUUGGUUAUGCAUGACUAUCAGGGUGUUUAGCUAUGUUAAUUUGCGGUGAUUAGGUAAGAAUUGAAAGUGUUUAGCUAUAUUAAUUUUUAUGGAUAAGUUUAUAAAAUUUGAGCUCAAGUUAGACCAAUAGAAAGUAUCCUUCUUCGGGCUCGUCUUGUGCAUCUUGAGUUUCUAAUGUCAUUUUUCGCCUUGGGCCUAAGGUGGAAAGGAGUGGUAAGAACUGGGAUUACAUAUGGGAUUUUUACAUAUACAUCCCAUAUAGCAAACCUUAUAACCACUCAUGUUUAAGGUUAGUAUUUAUUACAUUUAAGUAUACCACCUUUCAAUUUAUAUACCAAAAUUUAUUUUUAAGGUUUAAGGAUCAACUAUUAAUUAGAGGCUUGAUUUGUGGAACAAAAACUUUUCAUAUUUUUUUUUAUACGUUUUUCUCUUUCUUCCAACCAAAACCGAUGCAUUUCUCCCCUUUUUUAAUUACACCCCCC
rnacentral:lncRNA from 1 species